GGCUGGUCUGAAGGUAGUGAGCUAUCUCAAUUGAUUAUUCAGCCAGUUUCAGAUUGAACUCCUUGUUCUACUCUUUUCCUCCUUCUCACUACUGCACUUGACUAGCCUUAA
ensembl:Y_RNA Y_RNA Y RNA